rnacentral:lncRNA from 1 species
CCUAGUCCUGGAGGAAGGCUUACCAUCACAGGGGGCAGCGGUGGGUGGCUAAACAGCACUACAGUUAGCAGCAAUCGAAUCAGCAGUGCUGGAAGCGGGUCUAAACUCAGCGGUGCGGGUAGCAACGACAGAUUAAGCAGCCAAGCCGGGGGAAGGAUCAGCAGCUCGUCUGGCUCAGGGAGGACCAAUAGCACGGGAGGAAGGGUGAUCACCAGCAGUGACGGGCCAAUCAGGAGCACGGGCAGCGGCGUUGGAGCCAAUAAAGAGAGGAUCAGUGUGUGUAAGAUGGCGGCCCUGUCGAUGUCAGCAGCGGGGAUGGAGAGAAGCAAGGAGAGACAAAGACAAGCUAAGAAGUCCCAGCAGGAGCAGGCUGCAGCUAACAGGCCUCAUGUCCAGCGCUGGCUGACCUCAGGUGUCGGAGCAGCGGGCAACGACCUUGACGGCCUUGAUGACAUCAUUCGCCUCUGAUUGGCUAACGGAGGCCCUAUUUUGGUGACCCACUUCGUGCUUUCACCCUUUACACCAGGUUUCUGCAGAGGCACCAACAUUUAGCGAGAAAAAAAAAAAAGAUGAUUCUCUCAAAUUCGAUGUUGAUUGUCUGUAUUCUGAUCUUCUGAUGAUCACAUGUGAGUUGACAGAAUUAUAAAAGUACUCGCCGCUUUACUUCAUCAACUUCUAUGCAUUUUUUAUCCAUUUUUAUCCUGAUCUGAUAACUUCCACCCAAAACUCCCAAAUAACUCAGAUUGAAAUUCUUGAAUAAUUUGGUAUCAUCUUUUCAAGCACUGUUGUGUUUUGAUGAUUAAAAAAAAAAAAAAAACACUCUUGCUGUUAAUUUGCUUUAAUAAGAGAAAAAACUAUAUGGUGAUUGGGUGGGGUAAAAAGUUAAUAUAAAAAAGUGGGGGAAAAAAAACAUGAGCAGACUGCAAAAAAUGAAUAAAUAAAUAUUUAUAAAAAAAAAAUGAAAGGGUGAGGGACAAAUCCAGCAGAGAAAAGGGAGAGUUCACUUCAUUUACCUGCUUGACUGUGUCCUAUAUUGAAUAUUGUCCUCUUCCUGACUGUGAAUACUUACAUUGAUGAUUAUUUCCCUUGAUAACACUGAUUGUUUGUGUGCUGCACUCCCAUAAUCACACUUCCCUCAUAUCAUAUGUGAAUCAACAACAUGUGGUGUCACUCUUUAAAACCCAGCAGCUCUGCUUGCAGGAGAUUUGUUAUCUGUGCAAAGCCUCUGCUCUACCACUGAAUAUAUAUUUACACUUGAUUGUUCUCCUUUUUUUUCAUAUAUAAAAUCGGUUUUAUCUCAGUUUGUACAUGUACUGACAAGAAUAAACCAGCAAACAUCCAACCUGUGAGUGAGUGGCUGAUUUCUAACUAUCUUGGUGUGCGCCGCUCAGGUUUAAAGCCCUUAUCUCAUCUUUUUCGUCCGGCUGGUGUCUAUAAAAUCUGUUCUGACAAAUAAAGCUGAUAAAUAAAUCAUAAUCUG